rnacentral:misc_RNA from 1 species
UAAUAAAGCUGUCUGAUUCCCCUGUCACAGUUGCUGUCACUCUUAGCAACGCUCUAAACCCCAAAACCCCUAGUCAUCAUCCAUCGCCGGCAACGAAUGCCAUUCACAUGACCCUUCUUUCAAUGUCUCGCUUAAUUCGAGCUGCUCGGAGAACACUCGUCUCUUAUUCUUCUUCUUCUCCUUCUCAUACGUCCCCUGUUCAUGGAUUCCAAGUCUACAAUCACUUCAGUUCCCAUCUCCAAUGGCGAAAUGCUAUUUCAUCUCUCCUCUUCCAAUCCAGACCCUACGCAACUGACAAGUGUACCAAAUCGCUCUUCGAAGCUAACAUUCUCCGAAUCCUCCAUAACGAGAUCGAGUACCAGACCGAGUAUGCUCCUCCACACCAGGUUCGUACCACUUCUAAGAUCUACUUUCUCUCCUAGUCUCAAAUGUCAUGGUAUGUUGCCUGUUUGGACGCUGAGAAAUUCAUGGGUAACUUCACCUCCCCUAAUGUUGGAAUUAUAUAGCACGCGACGAAAUUCAAUUCAUUUGUGGUUCAAGAUCGACCAGGAGAGCAGUGGAUGACAAUGAGGAGCAUAUUUAAUGAUUCUGAAGACAUUAAACUUGAAGCUACAAUGUUUGAUGGGUAUGAAUCAGUUCCUAAAUUCGGAGAUGAUACCUCAGGGGAAGAUAUGCGCUUUCACAUUAGCUUGCUUGUAGAUAUCUCUAAGAGGAGUGGAGGCGAUGCAUUGGAGUUCGUCUGCUCGGCAUGGCCUGAUUGUUUAGAGAUUCAGAAACUUUACUUGCUUAGUCGUGACAGUAUGCUGUCUAGGCCUUACAUGGGACCUGAUUUUAGGAAUCUGAAUCCUCAGCUUCAGGAGAGACUUCGGGAGUUCUUGGAGGCAAGGG